rnacentral:rRNA from 1 species
UACAGAGGUCCCAAGCGUUGUUCGGAUUCACUGGGCGUAAAGGGUGCGUAGGUGGCCAGGUAAGUUCGGUGUGAAAGCUCGGAGCUUAACUCCGAAAUCGGCAUUGAAUACUAUCUGGCUAGAGGGUCGGAGGGGAGACUGGAAUUCUCGGUGUAGCAGUGAAAUGCGUAGAUAUCGAGAGGAACACCAGUGGCGAAGGCGAGUCUCUGGACGACACCUGACACUGAGGCACGAAAGCCAGGGGAGCAAACAGG